CUUUUAGACAAGCAAAGUAUCUUAUUAUGCGUUAAAGCGAUAAUAACUAUGCCUUUAUAAAUGUAACACAAUAAUAAUUACAUUGUAAUCAAUGUAACAGAAAAUUAUUGACGCAUCAAAAAAGAAAUCGGGCCGCUUGUAAUAACAACCGGACUAGUAGACUUUGGUUAGUCAAAGAACGAAUCAACCACAUAAAAUAAACUAUGUAUUAUGUAGGUACCUACCAGUACUACCACUACUUGUAACCUUUAGUUUAGAUUAAGGACAUUUUUUAAUAAUACCAAAAAAUAAUGCGAUAUUAUUUUACGAAUAGAUAACGCUGCACAAACUCAUAAUAAUGAAUGAGUCUUUCUUCCCUUUCUAUGAAGUAUAAAUUGAGAAUUAGUAUUUUGUUAUUUUUUCUUAAUAAAAAUUCAAUCAUCACAGUCAUAAUACUGAAGCUGACUGAAUCAAGGUGUCUGAAUAAAGACACGGAGUAGGAGCUUGGUUAAUAUUGUCUCAGAAAAUGUUAGACGCUUUGGUUUCAGUACAUGACAUAAACCUAUUUUUUGUUUCUUGAACUUUGUUUGAUAUUUAGUCAUAAUUCAUAUUUUAUCGUCUGGCGUAGAGAUUUCUACACGAUUAACAUGAAUUAAUUCCAAUUAAUUCGCCUUAGAAUGGCGACCAUUUUUUUUUAGACGUUAAUGCGUUU